rnacentral:rRNA from 1 species
CCUACGGGACGCACCAGUGGGGAAUAUUGCACAAUGGGCGCAAGCCUGAUGCAGCCAUGCCGCGUGUAUGAAGAAGACCUUCGGGUUGUAAAGUACUUUCAGCGGGGAGGAAGGCGAUAAGGUUAAUAACCUUGUCGAUUGACGUUACCCGCAGAAGAAGCACCGGCCAACUCCGUGCCAGCAGCCGCGGUAAUACGGAGGGUGCAAGCGUUAAUCGGAAUUACUGGGCAUAAAGCGCACGCAGGCGGUCUGUCAAGUCGGAUGUGAAAUCCCCGGGCUCAACCUGGGGACUGCAUUCGAAACUGGCAGGCUAGAGUCUCGUAGAGGGGGGUAGAAUUCCAGGUGUAGCGGCGAAAUGCGUAGAGAUCUGGAGGAAUACCGGUGGCGAAGGCGGCCCCCUGGACAAAGACUGACGCUCAGGUGCGAAAGCGUGGGGAGCAAACAGGAUUAGAUACCCGAGUAGUC